UGGGAAGCCAGUUUGGUUCCAACUUUUCCAUGAUGUGACUUGGAGAGCCAGAUCUGCUCACUUGUCUGUUAUCUGCAGUAUUUUCAAUGAUUCUAAUAUUUCUCUGCAAGAAAGGAAGGCAAUGUGAAUUUCUGCAGCAGAUAAGAUUGAAGGGAAGAAGUAAGUGAGAAGAGUGGAAGAACAGAGUUUCUACUGAUUAUAUAUGGAAGACCUGCCAAACUGGUGAUUCUAGAAUAUUAAAUCUGGGCUCCAUUGACUGGGAUAAAGGCUGGAUGCCCAUGAGGAAGGAGAC
rnacentral:lncRNA from 1 species